rnacentral:misc_RNA from 1 species
CAGUCAGCCAGCCUUAUGUCAAAUUAAACACUGUAACUGUACUGUCAAAUGAAACACCGACUCGAGGAAACUACGAAAUUAUCACAAUUAAACAAUUCACUUAUUCCUGGCGCGGGUCCGUCGAAGUAUAACGACCCAUAUGUUAGUACUGACACCGUUGACAAAGAUAUGGAGGAAAACUACGUGCUGACCUUGGAUAUUGGCACUACUACUAUUCGGUCCUUUAUUUAUAAUUCUAGAGCAGAAAGUGUUGGAAAUGCUGUAGAUCAGGUUGUACUCCACUACCCCAGUCCGGGGUUUGUGGAAAUUGAUCCUGAUGAAUUAUGGAAUUCAAUAGUGGGUGUAGUACAAAAGUCUUUGAAAAAUGCAAACUUAUCAGCGGGACAGAUGACAGCUAUGGGCAUAUCCACACAGAGAAGUACCUUCAUAACAUGGUCUAGAGAAACUGGCAAACCAUUCCACCGAUUUAUCACAUGGAAAGACUUGAGGGCUGACAAACUUGUUAAACAGUGGAACCAUUCAUAUACCUGGAAGUUGAUAAGAGCCGGUGCCUAUGUCCUGUAUUUAAUGUCUGGAAGUAAACGAUUUCGAGCAGGCAGUGUACUAAAAUUCAUGAAUACUCAGACGACAUUGCGUUUAUGUUGGGCUCUACAAAACAUAGUAACUUUAAAAGAAGCAGCAAAAAGUAAUGAUGCCAUGUUUGGCACUCUUGAUACAUGGCUCCUAUACAGACUUACAGAUAAGAAAGUCCACAUGACGGACGUAUCGUCAGCAUCAGCGACGGGUUUCUUCGAUCCGUUCACGAUGCAGUGGGCGGGGUGGGCUAUGACGCUGUUCGGAAUUCAAAUGAGCUCGCUACCGACCGUCGUGGACACGGCGGGCCCGCACUUUACCACCACUUCGCCGAACAUAUGGGGACAUCCGAUACCGAUACUCAGUUGUAUGGCGGAUCAAACAGCGUCCAUGUGGGGGUCUUGUUGCUUCGAGAUAGGCGACGUGAAGCUGACCAUGGGGACGGGUACGUUCUUCAACAUAAACACGGGACCGACCCCCCACGCCAGCGUCUCUGGCUUGUACCCUGUGGUGGGCUGGAGACUAGGCAAGGAGCUCAUCUACUCGGCAGAAGGCGCGAACAACGACACCGCUUCUAUCAUCAAGUGGGCGCAGAAUUUAGGUCUCUUCGAGAAUCCUCAAGAGACGGCGGACAUAGCGAACUCAGUACCGGAUUCAGACGGUGUUUACUUCAUACCAGCUUUUAGCGGAUUAGGCCCACCAUACAACGACGGGUCCGCGGCGUCAGGGUUCGUGGGUAUGAAGCCGUCGACUACGAAGGCGCACCUCGUCCGCGCCGUGCUGGAGUCGCUCGCCUUCCGGACUGCGCAGCUCUACUCCUGCGUGCAGCACGAGACCAGCUACAGCUUCCAUAGUAUCAGGUUAGACGGUGGUGUAUCGAACAACGACUUCAUAGCUCAGCUGGUGGCGGACCUGACGGGGCUGCGAGUGGAGCGCCCAGUGCACGUCGAGAUGUCUUCCUUCGGCUGUGUGCUCAUAGUGGGGCUGCAGUUAGGUUUAUGGAAAUCAAAAGAAGAACUGAAAUCCCUGUUCAAAGUAGGUGGCGUGUUCCACCCGCGCCCGCAGGUAAAGAAAUCGUACGAAGUCAUAUUCGCGCGGUGGGAGGACGCGGUCAAACGCAUGUGCGGCUGGUAUAGCGAGCCCAAGUCAAGUCAAACUCCGAGCAACUCAGUAUCGGACUCGAGUAGUAACUCCGUCACGCCACAGAGUAGCUUCAAAGUCGCAAGCAACUCAAAGAGGAACGGCAGCUAUUCAAAGAUUAAAAACAAAUAGCGGUGGCUUUUCUGCCUGCUCGCAAUGCUCAUGGCGUGCCUCCCACUGUGUAGGUGACAUCUACUUUGCCACGGCUCUAGUAUUGUAAAAAUAUUGUCCUUAAGUUGGUUGAGGUAGUAUGGUGUAGGUCCAGCGAUGUCAUGCCAACGGGACUCGGUAACAGACAAAAAUAUCAUUAUAAAAAUAGUGUUAAGGGCUAAGAAGACGCUUAUUUAAAUUAUUAUGAAGUUUUUAUCGACGUUUAGAAGGUUACUUGUCAUAAAGUUCCUAGUAAAAAGGUGGCGGCAAAGACGUUAGGAUGUGUCUGUUGAUAUAGCGACAGGCGUUAUGAAGCGCAUCCGUUCUAGCAAUAAUUCCUUGGUUGUUAACGUUAUUUUGACUUUGCAACCGAAUAUUUUAAAACUAGUUGUACAAGAGAUUAUAUGAAAGCGUGACAUCCUGUUAUGGGUUACAUGUUAUUGUAAUGUAUGGGUUAUAUCGGUUAUAGUUUUAAGCGGACGGUGAGUAGAGUUGGAUUGUUUGUAUAUGUAUGUAACCUCCGUAGUUGUAAGUUGUUUGAGAUGAUUAUAGUAUUGUAAUGAAAUUCCCGAUGGUAUCAAGUAGUUAGUCAAGAUUUAUGAGCCUGUAAAACUAAUGCACAAAUAAUGAUAAGACUUAGUCUUAAUUUUAAUCAUGAUGAAUGAGAAUAUCUGAAAUUCUAUCGCAAUUGUAUUUAUUUUAAGUUUUACUUUUGUUAUUCAGAAUGUUUAAUUUUUGUCGUUAGCAAGCUCAAGUUUUGUAAGACUGUCAGUAAAAUAGCAAAAGACAAACUUGUGAUAUUACGGAUAUGUUUCAUAUGGCUUAGCCGAUGUCUGUUACUUUCAAUAAGGGACUUUCUAGGCUACGUUUCUGAAAAACAAUAUAGAUGGCGCUGUACAGUUUUUCCAUCGUUUGACCUUCUAAUGUCAUGGAUAACAGACAUAUGCAUCUUUUAUCUUUGUUUUUUUAGGUACCAAUUUUGACCCUUGUUAUUACAUCUUCCACUCAUUAUUAUUCUAAAGUCAAAUCUUCAGGGUAGGUAAGCGGACCCCGUGAAAAACGGGAUAAUGCUAGGGAGAUGAUGGUACACGCCUCGUGAAAGUUCGGAGCGGAAAGUGCGAUUUUCUCAAAAACCUAUAUACUCAGUUCUAUAGGAUGUAAAAUGUAACACCUCAAAAUUAGCAUGAUGACCAUACAAAGCAAUAUAGGUAGCAACAUAAUUCUAUACAUAAUCUGCUCCAAAUGUCAAGCAGCAAUUUACAUUGUAUUUUUGAACAAUUAUGAACCAGAACAAUGAGAAAAUACGUAAUUUUCACAUUAAAACUGUACAACGCCAUCUAUAUUGUUUUUGGGGAACGUAGCCCAGAAAGUGCCUCAUUGGAGUUCUCGUUAAUUUUUUUAUCAUUUUCAAAAUUUUAGUGUAACCAUUUAAUGAAUUUUAUUGCUAUUGUUACCAUUGUACAUAUUUUAUGAUUUUAUAUAAGUGGCCUCAGUAAUUUCUUUCUUAAAAUAUCAAAUAAAUAAAUAUCAAAUUGUAAUAAAAGUAAAUUAUUGACGGUAGAUGACAAUAUGAGUGUGUAAUGUGUAAUAAGUUCAGUGAUAGCGCGUCUUUACCCUUUGCUCAAUGUGACGUUAUAUUGUUUGUUUGUAGCUUAAACUUGCCAAUUUGUAGUUUUUGUAUGCGGUUAAUGUAAUAGAGAAAUAUGUCCUCAUAGACUGACAUGUGUACCGGUUGCGUCAAGCGUAUUUCGACUUUCUUGCCUAAGUUACACGAGCUAUUAAAACACAAGGUAGCUAAACCCUUUUCAAAUAAUUCAAUAUUAUGAAACACUAAUUAAAAGUACACUUUUGCUUUACACAGAUGUGGACCCUCUGCAAAUAGCUAAAUAUUUUUAUUUAUAUUGACAUGACAACAUUAUCAAUCCGUGUUUAAAAAGGAAUAAUAAAUUUAUAUGCUAAAG